rnacentral:rRNA from 1 species
CNUGCAGUCGACGCUUUGUGGUUCAACUGAUUUGAAGAGCUUGCUCAGAUAUGACGAUGGACAUUGCAAAGAGUGGCGAACGGGUGAGUAACACGUGGGAAACCUACCUCUUAGCAGGGGAUAANAUUUGNNAACAGAUGCUAAUACCGUAUAACAAUGACAACCGCAUGGUUGUUAUUUGAAAGAUGGUUCUGCUAUCACUAAGAGAUGGUCCCGCGGUGCAUUAGCUAGUUGGUAAGGUAAUGGCUUACCAAGGCGAUGAUGCAUAGCCGAGUUGAGAGACUGAUCGGCCACAAUGGGACUGAGACACGGCCCAUACUCCUACGGGAGGCAGCAGUAGGGAAUCUUCCACAAUGGGCGAAAGCCUGAUGGAGCAACGCCGCGUGUGUGAUGAAGGGUUUCGGCUCGUAAAACACUGUUGUAAGAGAAGAAUGACAUUGAGAGUAACUGUUCAAUGUGUGACGGUAUCUUACCAGAAAGGAACGGCUAAAUACGUGCCAGCAGCCGCGG